rnacentral:rRNA from 1 species
UAACGGGGCUAAACUAUGCACCGAAGCUGCGGCAGCGACACUAUGUGUUGUUGGGUAGGGGAGCGUUCUGUAAGCCUGUGAAGGUGUGUCGUGAGGCAUGCUGGAGGUAUCAGAAGUGCGAAUGCUGACAUAAGUAACGAUAAAGCGGGUGAAAAGCCCGCUCGCCGGAAGACCAAGGGUUCCUGUCCAACGUUAAUCGGGGCAGGGUGAGUCGACCCCUAAGGCGAGGCCGAAAGGCGUAGUCGAUGGGAAACGGGUUAAUAUUCCCGUACUUGGUGUUACUGCGAAGGGGGGACGGAGAAGGCUAUGUUGGCCGGGCGACGGUUGUCCCGGUUUAAGCGUGUAGGUGUGUGUUCCAGGUAAAUCCGGUUCACUUUAACACUGAGGCGUGACGACGAGGCACUACGGUGCUGAAGCAACAAAUGCCCUGCUUCCAGGAAAAGCCUCUAAGCAUCAGGUAACAUCAAAUCGUACCCCAAACCGACACAGGUGGUCAGGUAGAGAAUACCAAGGCGCUUGAGAGAACUCGGGUGAAGGAACUAGGCAAAAUGGUGCCGUAACUUCGGGAGAAGGCACGCUGACACGUAGGUGAAGUGAUUUACUCAUGGAGCUGAAGUCAGUCGAAGAUACCAGCUGGCUGCAACUGUUUAUUAAAAACACAGCACUGUGCAAACACGAAAGUGGACGUAUACGGUGUGACGCCUGCCCGGUGCCGGAAGGUUAAUUGAUGGGGUCAGCGCAAGCGAAGCUCCUGAUCGAAGCCCCGGUAAACGGCGGCCGUAACUAUAACGGUCCUAAGGUAGCGAAAUUCCUUGUCGGGUAAGUUCCGACCUGCACGAAUGGCGUAAUGAUGGCCAGGCUGUCUCCACCCGAGACUCAGUGAAAUUGAACUCGCUGUGAAGAUGCAGUGUACCCGCGGCAAGACGGAAAGACCCCGUGAACCUUUACUAUAGCUUGACACUGAACAUUGAGCCUUGAUGUGUAGGAUAGGUGGGAGGCUUUGAAGUGUGGACGCCAGUCUGCAUGGAGCCGACCUUGAAAUACCACCCUUUAAUGUUUGAUGUUCUAACGUGGACCCGUGAUCCGGGUUGCGGACAGUGUCUGGUGGGUAGUUUGACUGGGGCGGUCUCCUCCUAAAGAGUAACGGAGGAGCACGAAGGUUGGCUAAUCCUGGUCGGACAUCAGGAGGUUAGUGCAAUGGCAUAAGCCAGCUUGACUGCGAGCGUGACGGCGCGAGCAGGUGCGAAAGCAGGUCAUAGUGAUCCGGUGGUUCUGAAUGGAAGGGCCAUCGCUCAACGGAUAAAAGGUACUCCGGGGAUAACAGGCUGAUACCGCCCAAGAGUUCAUAUCGACGGCGGUGUUUGGCACCUCGAUGUCGGCUCAUCACAUCCUGGGGCUGAAGUAGGUCCCAAGGGUAUGGCUGUUCGCCAUUUAAAGUGGUACGCGAGCUGGGUUUAGAACGUCGUGAGACAGUUCGGUCCCUAUCUGCCGUGGGCGCUGGAGAACUGAGGGGGGCUGCUCCUAGUACGAGAGGACCGGAGUGGACGCAUCACUGGUGUUCGGGUUGUCAUGCCAAUGGCACUGCCCGGUAGCUAAAUGCGGAAGAGAUAAGUGCUGAAAGCAUCUAAGCACGAAACUUGCCCCGAG